rnacentral:rRNA from 1 species
UACGAAGGGGGCUAGCGUUGCUCGGAAUUACUGGGCGUAAAGGGCGCGUAGGCGGCACUGUUAGUCAGGCGUGAAAGUCCUGGGCUCAACCUGGGAACUGCGCUUGAUACGGCAGAGCUAGAGGAUGGAAGAGGGUCGCGGAAUUCCCAGUGUAGAGGUGAAAUUCGUAGAUAUUCGCAAGAACACCAGUGGCGAAGGCGGCUUACUGGUCCGGUUCUGACGCUGAGGCGCGAAAGCGUGGGGAGCAAACAGG